GGAAUAUUUGUACCGAAGGGGUGAAAUAACCGGGCAUCUCCACUUUCACCCUCGUUCAUUUCACUACCUUCCAUAUCACACAUUCGACAAAAACCUACCCUAUCGAAUCCCUACCUCAACAUCAAAGCCACAGCUGCCCGAGUUUUUUCAUUCCAAUUUUUAUUGGACUCCUAAUCAACUAGAUUAACAGUCCUGCUGAUUGCAUUUAACUGGCCCAACGAAAACACAAUGAAUCUCCACCAGUCGUCACCAAAAAAUUGUCUCGACACCAACACGCCAAACAAGAAAGACGCUGAGGAAGAGCCUUUAAACUUUUGUACCAAUAUUCGUCUUCACUUGUUAACUUGUGGCAAAUGGUUUCUUAGCGGCAUUGUCACGUACAACAUGUGCAUCUACUACUUCAAACCGACCUCGUUGUCUUGGGAGAACGCUGGAGUCUCUGUCCUCGUCCAGUGUGCGAUCUGGGGGACAAUUUUUGUCGUGCAAUUGCUCUCUGAAUUGAUCAAGAUUGAGGAGUGGGUUGAAGGAAGAAAUUUCGAAGGCGACACUGCAUAUACAUUCUGGAAAUUUACUAAUACUUUUCGCCUUCCCCUGAAUGAUAACGAUGCAACAUCUUUUCGCAAAAUUAUAAAAUGCACUGCUCAGCUUCGUCUAAACUGGGAGGAAGUUGACGAUGAAGUGGAUGACAAACUGGAGGAAGCUAAAGACGAAGAAAACAUUUUGGAAGGUGAAAGGAAAAUAAAUUCUGCGUUAUCACAUUCUUCGCCAUUUUAUGGAAAUGAGGAAGACCUCUCCAGAAUUUUGAGAUUUGUUAAAAAAUCUCUGGACGACCACAUGAUUGAGAUGAUUGACUCUGUCAAAGAAGUUCAACUGGAUGAAGUAUUGUAUCCAUCAAAUGCAUAAACUCGCUUUGAAAAUGUACACAAGACAUGAAACCGAACUCGAGAUAAAAUAUGUACAUACAACAUACGACAUUUUGAGUAUUGCCUUAUUACCAGUUGGCAUACACAAUUGGAUGUUUAUUUGGAUUAUAUUACUUUAAAAAAUAGUCCUGUGAAUUGUAAAAAAAUAGUCCUGCGAAUUAAGUGCACACUUCAAACAUUUUGGCCUUAACAUUCAAACUAAAUAUUAUGGUCGAAUAUUAUAUUUAAGGGACCGUACGUACAGUAAUUAUUGUGGGGAAGAAAAGUAUGAGUGAGAUUUGACGGGUGCAUUGAUAUGGUGGUCGCGUAGUACAAAGGAGUACGUCUGGGGCUAUACCGGGAAAUGUUUCCUUCGAUGGAGACCGGGGUCACCAAAUUUUUGCACUAUACCGUUAUUUCUCAUUCCUACAUUAUGCAAUACAAAAAUCGCGAUUUUCUAGACCCCCUUUUAACAUAUUUCACAUACGCACGAUAUCAUUGGAGCCUUAGGCUCCCCUCCCCCCCCCCUCUUGCGUUACAUAAUUUAUGGACGGACCCUAAGAAGAAUUAUCUAUUGGUGGCAUGUAUUUUGGGUAUGUAUUCUUAUAAAUAUAUAUUUAUGUAUGUAUCUACUCUAUUGUAUGAGUAUGUGUUCUCCUUGUUCAUGCAUUUUUAUUCAGAGGGGGAGGAACCAACCUUAAAGGUGCAAAACGGAAAAUUGUAUAACUUCAUUUAUACAUGAUGUAUGUGUAUCUACGUGCAUAUCUACCUCUACUUUCACUCAUACAUACAUAUCCACAACAAUAAUCCUUUCACUCCUAAAGUAAAUAAGUAUACCCUACCCUUAAGUCUACACUGACCCUUCCCGUCAUUACAUCAUAGCCCAGCCGGUGACUGUAUUUUAUAUUUGUCAGGUUCCAAUUCCUAUUUAAGAUACUUUCCUACGCAUAAAUUUAAUUCAUAAAAUAUAAAUUACACUUUUGGCCAUGCAUAUUGGUGAACUUAGCGAUAUGCACUUGCGUCCGUCAAAGCGAGCCUUGCCUUUUCCUAAAUCCAAUCCUACUAAACACGUAGACUAUAAAAUUGAAAGCUACUACAAUAGCAUAAUCCACCGACUGAAAACAUGUGGAAAAUGGUUUAUUUGUUUGAUGAUCAUUUUCAACUUGUGCAUCUACUAUGUCAAACCGGACUCAUUGUCUUGGGAAAAUGUCCUCGUCCAAUGCGGGGUUUGGGCGACUAUUUUCAUGUUUCAAAUACUCUUUGAGCUGGACAAAAUUGAAGAAAGGGUUGAAAAUGGAACUACUGAAGUGCAACUCAAGAAUAACGAGGAUAAAAUCAUCCGAAAAGUGACAACAGGCAAUGCUGAGGUUAAAUUCAUGUGGGACAUAAUGAACGAUAGUGAAAGUAGUAUGAGAACUCAGAAAGCAGAGCGUAUAUCAAAGAUAUCCCGUUUUUGAGAUAAAUUCCAAAAUCGAACAGCAACCAACGUUCAAACGGUCAAAAGACCCUGGAAAAAAAACAAGAACUUAUUGGACGAGAGAUUUCAUGGAAGCAAGUGGAGUUAAAUAUGAACGUUUUUGAGAAAAAACUAAACACAACAAACGAAGACUGUUAAGCAUUACUUAUGUAAAUCUAAAAUAAAAACUGAAAUAAAUGUUCGAUAUGUAAAUUAUUAUAUGCCAGAUA